AUACGUAGGUGGCGAGCGUUGUCCGGAAUUACUGGGCGUAAAGCGCGCGUAGACGGCUCGAUAAGUGAGAUGUGAAAGACCCGGGCUCAACUCGGGGGUUGCAUCUUAGACUGUAGAGCUUGAGUGCAGGAGAGGCAAGUGGAAUUCCCAGUGUAGCAGUGAAAUGCGUAGAGAUUGGGAGGAACACCAGUGGCGAAGGCGACUUGCUGGACUGUAACUGACGUUGAGGUGCGAAAGCUAGGGGAGCAAACGGGAUUAGAUACCCCGGUAGUCCUAGCCGUAAACGAUGGGUACUAGGUGUGGGAGGUAUCGACCCCUUCCGUGCCGGAGUGAACGCAAUAAGUACCCCGCCUGGGGAGUACGGCCGCAAGGUUGAA
rnacentral:rRNA from 1 species